UACGUAGGGUGCGAGCGUUGUCCGGAUUUAUUGGGCGUAAAGGGCGCGUAGGCGGUGUGUCAAGUCAGGCGUGAAAGCCCCGGGCUCAACCUGGGAACCGCGCUUGAGACUGGCACGCUCGAGUUCGGGAGAGGAUGGUGGAAUUCCCAGUGUAGAGGUGAAAUUCGUAGAUAUUGGGAAGAACACCGAUGGCGAAGGCAGCCAUCUGGACCGACACUGACGCUGAGGCGCGAAAGCGUGGGGAGCAAACAGG
rnacentral:rRNA from 1 species